GCAGCCCAAUUUGGCAACACUGAUUGCAUGACAUCCUGAGUAGAUUGUACUUCUUCUGAGAGUCCAACAUACACUCUGUUGUAAUAUGGCUUAACAUGCUGUGUUGUCUUGGCAGUUAUUCAUCAUUUUGUUUCUGAGCUUUGAUGAAACAACAGAGAGAAAGAAAAGGUGGACAAUUUUGUUUCAAAUGAAAGGAAAUGUAAGUCUUGCUCCAGGAUGUAUGUAGCUAAGCCUGUUCUCUGUUGGAUCAUAAUUCUGUGCUUUAGGCAGGAAACUCAAGCCAAACCUACGAUCUCUAUGCUGAACAGAACCAGAGUGGCACUAGCAGGAGAAACUCUUCAUUUCAAACUGUCAGUGUGUAUCCCAGCAAACUACACCACUAACAAACUUAAAUUGUACCAUAAUCAGAGCAGAAGGAUAAUUUGGAGUAGAGAACUUAAAAGUGAAUUUUUUGAAACUACAAAGUUGGAGAUGGCACGUAUCAAAAUGCACAAUAGUUCCAGUUCUGGCAAUUACUACUUUUAUUAUACAGAUCAGAAGGUGCAUUGGGUGGUUCAAGUGAGAGGUGAGUACACGGAUCAUUGAUCCAGUAUUGGUCCUACAUUCUAUUUGCUCCAUAAUUGAAAUGCACUGCUGUGACUGAGAGAUUAGCAUAUGAAUGAAUCUUGAAAUUAACAGUUUAGAUUUCUGAUUUUUACUCUAUAACAUGUGAGUUUGGCCAUGUGACAUGACAUGUUAGACUUAAAACUGCCACUUUCAGCAAAAAAGAGCUGUAAUGCAAAAACCGAGCCAGAAACGAAGUUCCUUUCUUACUUUCUCUCUAUUUCUUCCUUGUUUUUUUACUCUUACUCCAACUCUUUGUUUUCCAGAUAAGGGUUAUCAGCAGCAACUUGAGUUAGACAGUGCCAUCAUCACAAUGAUGGCAUUUUCAGGAAUUCUGCUCAUCUUCAGUGUUGCUGGGUCACUUUACAUAUUAAAAAGCUACAAGGUAAAACUUGGCUGUACAGUGUGUCGUACAAACAUUAGAACAUACUGCAAUAAUUCAAUUUAUUCUAAUUUGUUGAAUGUACGUUUAUUUAAUUUCAAAUGCUCUCUUGUAUACUUUAAUGCAUUAAUUAGAUGGUACUCAUGCUGUAAAAGUUCAGUACAUCUCAAAGGACUCAAUCUAAGAAUAGGGGCUUGUACAAUGAACGUGUGAACAUUGAUUAUAACAUUACAAUGGCAACUGUCAGGGGUGGGAUACACUGCGCAAGUAAACAGUCUUUCAUGUGUUGGAAGAAGAAAAAAUGGGCGGGUGAAAAGAUCUGAAUAACUUGGACAAGGACCAAAUAGUGAUAGCUGGAUGACUGGUCAGAGCAGCUCCAAAAGUCUUGUUGCAGUGUUUAGUUUAGAUCAGGUGGAUGGCUGGGUGCGAAUGUAUCAUUUACCUGGGGAAGAGAUGGCAGUACUAUGGGAAGAAGGCAGACCGGUGGAGGGAUCUGACAUUCAUGUGGAUGUUACUUUGAUACUUCCCGCCUGCCUGAAGAUUGUUUCACCAGAAAUAUGCUCCCUGGUGCACUGCAAAAAACGGUUUAGAAAUGGUUUUGAGGAAUGUGAAAAGAAAAAAAAAAAAGUGGAAGAUGUUGCCUUUGUCUCCAGAUUCCCCAGAUCUCAAUCUGAUUGAGCAUCUGUGGGAUGUGCAGGGGCAGCAAAUCUGAUCCAUGGAGGCAUCAACUUGCAACUUGCAGGGCUUAAAUCAUCUGUUUCCAAUGUCUAGAUAGUACAGGUAACAUUAUGAGAUUUAGUGGUGUCCAUGCGUCAACGUGUCAGAGCUGCUUUGACAACACAAGGGGGACCGACAGGUGUUUUUAAUGUUAUGGCUGAUCAGUAUUUAUGGACUCAUAACUAAACGGUAAAUGUCAGUUCAGAAAAGAUGACAUAUGUGCUACUAUGCAAGAUGUAUAAAUAAAAUAAAAAUACAUUUUUAGGAACAUCCUGCUUGUAGAGAUGACAAAAAUGUUGCAGACCAGAGGCCAGGUUGGAGUGAUGAAGUGAUACUGGAUGAAGAUGCUGCAUCUACACAACUUUACACCGUGAGAUAACAGUCGAUUUCUCUUUUGGAUAGUAGUCUUUUGCUCUUUCUGUCUCUGUAUUUGGCAUUUGUUGGUACAAGGUUGUUCUACCAGUUUUAAUAAGAAUUUUAAAUUAAGUGCAUCAUCUAAUACUCC